GUAUCAGCCACGUUAAUAUUGCACGUUUCGAAUAUCCGCCAGAACUUACCUGUCAAUACCUGCUCCAGGCAUAGCUAGCUCACUGGGCACCCUGGGUGGAUACGUAUGUUGGCACCAACGCUGUACAAAUUUUUUACUUUUGUGUGUCGUCAACAACCACCUAACCAUUCACACACAGUCACAUACACAGAUACCUAAUCACACACAAGCACAACACAUAUAAUCACAAAAUUGCACACAGUCACACACAUUCACCAUGCCACAAACCAUCACAGGCACACAAUCAGACAUACACAGUCAGAUACAAUCUUCGGUACCUGGGUACCACAUGGCCAUACUACAAAGAGUAACAGGUGAGACCCAUACAAUGUGUUCACCCCCUCCCACCUGCCGCCCAGGACAGCCCAUGCCCUCCAUUCCCUGCUAUUGCCUACACCGCUUCCUUAUAAGAUGGAAUUGCU